AACGAACGCUGGCGGCAGGCCUAACACAUGCAAGUCGAGCGAGGACUUCGGUCCUAGCGGCGGACGGGUGAGUAACGCGUGGGAACGUGCCCUUUGCUUCGGAAUAGCCCUGGGAAACUGGGAGUAAUACCGGAUGAGCCCUUUGGGGGAAAGGUUUAUCGGCGAAGGAUCGGCCCGCGUUGGAUUAGGUAGUUGGUGGGGUAAUGGCCUACCAAGCCGACGAUCCAUAGCUGGUUUGAGAGGAUGAUCAGCCACACUGGGACUGAGACACGGCCCAGACUCCUACGGGAGGCAGCAGUGGGGAAUCUUAGACAAUGGGGGAAACCCUGAUCUAGCCAUGCCGCGUGAGCGAUGAAGGCCUUAGGGUUGUAAAGCUCUUUCAGCUGGGAAGAUAAUGACGGUACCAGCAGAAGAAGCCCCGGCUAACUCCGUG
rnacentral:rRNA from 1 species